CAGGAGGAGCUUGGCUUUCCAAGCUACGAGGCAGCAGCAGAAGCAGCCAGACUCCGAUGAGGACAAAGAAUCUCCGCCAGGCCCCUCUUCAAUCUUAGUGACGGCGACACAUCGGAGGACAGCAGUGAGCACGAGGAUGCUACAGCUAAGCUGCCCACCAUGUCCUCGUUCCAGAAGGUCCUGGGACCCAUUUUUGGAGGCCGCUCAAAGGCUUCCAAAAUGAGGAAGCUGUCCUUCCCUCCCUCCAUUGGUAAGAAACAACACAUUUCCUGUGUGUGCAGGUGUGUGGAGGGUUGUCAUGCUAUGCUCAUCACAUCUUUGUUCUAUCUGUACAGACAAAUACAUGCAGGACUACGCCGC